rnacentral:rRNA from 1 species
UUAGAGUUUGAUCCUGGCUCAAGAUGAACGCUUUCGACAGGCUUAACACAUGCAAGUCGAGGGGCAGCACAGGUAGCAAUACCGGGUGGCGACCGGCGCACGGGUGAGUAACGCGUAUGCAACUUGCCUAUCAGAGGGGGAUAACCCGGCGAAAGUCGGACUAAUACCGCAUGAAGCAGGGGCCCCGCAUGGGGAUAUUUGCUAAAGAUUCAUCGCUGAUAGAUAGGCAUGCGCUCCAUUAGGCAGUUGGCGGGGUAACGGCCCACCAAACCGACGAUGGAUAGGGGUUCUGAGAGGAAGGUCCCCCACAUUGGUACUGAGACACGGACCAAACUCCUACGGGAGGCAGCAGUGAGGAAUAUUGGUCAAUGGCCGAGAGGCUGAACCAGCCAAGUCGCGUGAGGGAUGAAGGUUCUAUGGAUCGUAAACCUCUUUUAUAAGGGAAUAAAGUGCGGGACGUGUCCCGUUUUGUAUGUACCUUAUGAAUAAGGAUCGGCUAACUCCGUGCCAGCAGCCGCGGUAAUACGGAGGAUCCGAGCGUUAUCCGGAUUUAUUGGGUUUAAAGGGUGCGUAGGCGGCCUUUUAAGUCAGCGGUGAAAGUCUGUGGCUCAACCAUAGAAUUGCCGUUGAAACUGGGGGGCUUGAGUAUGUUUGAGGCAGGCGGAACGCGUGGUGUAGCGGUGAAAUGCAUAGAUAUCACGCAGAACCCCGAUUGCGAAGGCAGCCUGCCUAGCCAUUACUGACGCUGAUGCACGAAAGCGUGGGGAUCAAACAGGAUUAGAUACCCUGGUAGUCCACGCAGUA